UGGGGUCGGGCGCGUCUGUCCAUGUGUCUGUCCUGGGGGGGCGGGGAAUCAGUCCAGGUUCCCACUGUGGUCCUGCUCCCAACGUCUGCUCUGUCUGCAGAAUUUCAAUUUCCUACUAUCUUGAUGUUCAAGCCUAAGGCUUCCAGACUUGCUGGUCUAUCUAUGCAACGGCACGGAAGGCCCUUGUCAAAGCACACGUUCCAGUUUUUGGUUCACGGGUGUGCUCGACGGACCCUCGGAGCAAGGUCUGGAAAGCCCCAGCGUUCAAGAUUUUCCGUCCCUUCCAGGAAUGAAGAAGACCGUCGCGUGGCCCGGGAAAUGGAGGUCGGGUGUUCGAGGAGCACCUGAGUCCCUGGAAGACCGGGGGGUCGUCCCCAGCAGGUGCCAAGGACUGAAGGCCCCAAGGAGUCAGCAGUGAGGUCCUUGUCCUGGGAGGAGGGAGGUACAGAGAGAAAGGAUCCCAGCUGGUCUAGGAGUUGGG
rnacentral:lncRNA from 1 species